CACUAUCCGGUGGUGUAAUCAAAUAUCAGCUGGUAAUUCUGGGGAUUGUGACGGUAGCCCAGGAUUCUUGCUGGUAUCUGGCUACGAACUGGAUCAUCGCCUUUGCACACU
rnacentral:pre_miRNA from 1 species